rnacentral:rRNA from 1 species
GAUGAACGCUGGCGGCGUGCCUAAUACAUGCAAGUCGAGCGAACAGACGAGGAGCUUGCUCCUCUGACGUUAGCGGCGGACGGGUGAGUAACACGUGGAUAACCUACCUAUAAGACUGGGAUAACUUCGGGAAACCGGAGCUAAUACCGGAUAAUAUAUUGAACCGCAUGGUUCAAUAGUGAAAGACGGGUUUGCUGUCACUUAUAGAUGGAUCCGCGCCGCAUUAGCUAGUUGGUAAGGUAACGGCUUACCAAGGCAACGAUGCGUAGCCGACCUGAGAGGGUGAUCGGCCUCACUGGAACUGAGACACGGUCCAGACUCCUACGGGAGGCAGCAGUAGGGAAUCUUCCGCAAUGGGCGAAAGCUUGACGGAGCAACGCCGCGUGAGUGAUGAAGGUCUUCGGAUCGUAAAACUCUGUUAUUAGGGAAGAACAAAUGUGUAAGUAACUAUGCACGUCUUGACGGUACCUAAUCAGAAAGCCACGGCUAACUACGUG